AGCUUAAUAGAUAUAUGCUACAGACUCUUCUUGACCCAUAUUCCUGUUUUUUAAUGUGUUUUUGGUUACUCAGCAUCAGAACUACAAUGAAAGUAUAACUGAACAGGAGUUUGUCAACAGCAAUAGAGAUUGGAACUCUGCUAAGAUGUAUUUCAAAUGGGGAAGAUCCAGAGUUCGCAUUUUCCCACUACUGAGUAUAACAGCGAUUGUUUUGGUCUUCAACCUUUUAUGGAUUUUUUCUGGAUAUACCUUCUGUCAUCGGGAACCCAGUCUUUGUGACUGUCACAAAUGUCUAACAGACAGUGUUCCUUGGUUUAAUGACAUCAUCAGUGAAGCUCCUAAACCCUUUCUGUCACAGAAACAUAUACCUCCAGACGAAGAUUUCCUCUGGUGGAAGAACUUACAGGGGGCAAGACAUCAAAACUUGGCUUUCUACGAUAAAACUUUAGAAAGACUAUUUCAGACAAUUACCCCAAUUGCAGAUGUUGAAGAACCUCGCCCUGAUCACCGCAGGAGUUGCGCCGUGAUGUGGAAAUCUGGAAAUUUAAGAGGAUCGCAUUAUGGACCUCUGAUUUCCAUAACAUCGUAAUAAGAGAAAAUGGUGCUCCAAACUCAAAGAAGAUAGCUAACAAGGAUUUGGUGAGUAUUUUAGGUUUACAUGAACAAAACUGGCAUAUAUUGAUAUCUAAGAAGUAUAAUAAGAAAUAAUAAAUUUAAUCUACCAUUAAUUCAGGCAGCCCACAAAGUCAGCUGAUUUUACACACUGAACUGACAAAUCUCUUAUACAGGGAGUGCAGAA